GUGCUCACUUCAGCAACACACAUACUAAAAUUGGAAUGAUACAGAGAAGAUUGUCAUAACCCCUGCACCAGGAUGACACACAAAUUUGUAAAGUGUUCCAUAUUUUU
ensembl:snRNA U6 U6 spliceosomal RNA